UCAAUUUCAAAAUCAGAAAUCUAGGGUUUCAAGUUUCACUUUGAAUUUCUCUUUCUCCGGUGAAUCUCGCCGCCGCCGCCGCCGCUGCCGCUGCUCGACCGUUCCUCACGCCCUCUGCUCUCAUCGUUUCAGGUAUUCCUUCUCUCUUACUCGUUCUCUCUCCCCUUGCCAUCUACGCUUCCUCACCGAUCUCCCUCCGCCCCCUGCUCUCGUUCGCGGCGCCGCCGCGAAUCGCCGCUACGUAUCCUUGCUAUGGUAUCCUCAUCGCUGCUCCUGUCGAAAGCUCGCGGCAGUUCGGCAAUCACCGAGGAAAUCUCGGCUGCAGCGGGCGAUGAGAGCGUGAUUCAGGAAGAUAAGCUGCGGAGCACAAGGAAUCAUCGGCGACAUACGACUGGACCGAGGAAUGGUAUCCGCUGUACCUCGCGAAGCAAGUAUCGGACGACGCGCUGCUAGGGCUCACCGCGACAUCUGCCGCAAACCGCCGCGGCUCGAGCAGCACCAGCGGUCGUCGCCGCCAGUUGCACCUUCGCCGUGGUGGUUCUCGGCUAUUGCUGCCCCAUUUUCUUCUUCUAUUUUGUUCUUUUUCUUUACUUAUUCUAUGUUAAAUCCUUGUUCUAAUUCUUCCCUAACUAUUCCCCUAUUUCAGGAAUCGACCGAAUGUCGAACGUUGUCGAUUCGAGGGUGAGAAAUGAGCAAAGAGGUCUGCACAAAAUCUCUAACUAUUUCCCUAACUAUAGAAUAUUGAUUUAUUACAAGUUCUUGGAAAAAGUUGAGGUUUUGUUCACUGCCCAUGUUAGAAUUCUUAUGGCUUUUUAUGAAUUAAUUGGCAUUACUUGAUGAUGAUAUUCAACCUAUUUCUAGCUCUAAUUAUAAAGCAAGUAAUUGUGAGUGUGUCUGUUUUCCCUUUGUUUCAGGAACAGGAACUCAGCUUUAUCCAGGCUGACACAUGUUUUAAAUGAUCAUGUUAUCCUAAUUAAGAUUUAUAAACUUGUUUCAUAUCACUUAUUAGCAUAUAAUGUGAAAAAUCUAUGCUACUGAAAUUUCAAAUUUCAGCUUAAUCUAAAUUUUUCACUUUAAUAGACCAAUUAACAUAUAUGAGUAGUUUAGUUGCAUUUUCUGAUUCCUCAUACUGUUGCAUUUAUCCGGAAGGCACUUGGUUGUUUUGAUUGUCCUUAUUGUUUAUGUUGGGCUGCUAAUUUCCUAUUGCCUUUACCAGGUAUUUUGCUUUUUAAUUGCAUCUUCAUAGCAUAUUAUACUAGUUUUCAAUUUCCAAUCUAUCAUUGUAGCAAGGGCUUAUCUAGGUUCAUGGGUUAAGCCCCAAAAUCCUAGGGGACCCUUUGAAAAUCCAUGUUCUUUUCCAAUGAUAGAUUGGCUUCUCAUAUUGUGUUGAACUGAUUAACGAUUUCUAAUCGAUGAAAUUUCCAAGAACAAAUCUGAUAUGGAGACCAUCUUGUCCUAUAAACAUGUCAUUGUAGGAAUCAUAGCAAUUCCGGUGUCUAAAAUCCACGAUUUGCGCGCAGAUGAAGGCCUUGAACAAGAGCUUGGGGGAGGACCAAGGUUCGGAGCUGCCGAGGCUGAGGUUUGUGGAUCGGCAGCAGGUAGGGAUGCUGCACAACAAUGCGUGGAGACCGCAGAGAGGGCUGCCUGAGAGAGCUGUCUCGGUGCUUCGUGCUUGGCUCUUUCAACACUUUCUUCAUCCGUACCUUAAGAACUCGGAUAAGCAAAUGCUUGCUAAGCAAACAGGGCUUACCAGGAUUCAGGAUGGUAAGCUGAAUUCACUAGAAGACAAGCAGGUUCGGGUUUUGCUUCAAAUGAGAUGUUCUUGUUUGGGCAGUUUGUGGCUUUUUAUGUUAUGAUGAGAAUAUUUGUUAACUUGUAAUGAAAAUCACAGCUCUAUUAUUUUCUCGACUUGUGUUAUGUUUUGAGAUGUGCAGGAUAGGAAGCUUGGGAUCAAUUCAAUGAAUUGGGAUGGAAGUUUGGAUGGAUGAAUGGAAUGUUGUUGACUGAAAGCCGCUUCAGAGUACUUAUUUUUUGUUGAAAAUUGUAAAUUGACUAUUCUAGUUACGUAGAUACAUUACUUGGUUGGUUAAUAUUUAACAGUUUGAUUAUGGAUGGAUGGAGUUAUUUGGA